rnacentral:rRNA from 1 species
GACGAACGCUGGCGGCGUGCUUAACACAUGCAAGUCGAACGGAAAGGCCGGGCUUUUGUGGGGAGGUCGAGGGGCGAACGGGUGAGUAACACGUGAGUUACCAGUCAUUGACUUAGGGAUAACUUCAGGAAACUGGGGGUAAUACCGGAAAGGAGCUCCUGCCGCAUGGUGGGGGUUGGAAAGAUUCGGCUGUUGGGGUGUGACUGGCGGCCUAUCGGCUUGAUGGUGUGGUAGUGGCAGACCAAGCCCAUGAACGGUAGCCGGCCUGAGAGGGUAACCUGCCACAUUGCGCCGGAGAUACGACCCAGACUCCACCGCGAGGCGGCGGAGGAGUGGAGUGCACAAUGGGCGGAAGCCUGAUGCAGCAACGCCGCGUGCCGGGAGUCGGCCAGCGGGUAGUAAACCGCUUUCGCCUGUGACGAAGCGAGAGUGACGGUAAUGGGUAAAGAAGCACCGGCUAACUACGUG